rnacentral:rRNA from 1 species
AUUGAACGCUGGCGGCAUGCCUUACACAUGCAAGUCGAACGGUAGAGGGGCAACCCUCGAGAGUGGCGAACGGGUGAGUAAUGCAUCGGAACGUGCCCAGUCGUGGGGGAUAACACUUCGAAAGAAGUGCUAAUACCGCAUACGACCUGAGGGUGAAAGCGGGGGACCGCAAGGCCUCGCGCGAUUGGAGCGGCCGAUGUCAGAUUAGGUAGUUGGUGGGGUAAAGGCCCACCAAGCCGACGAUCUGUAGCUGGUCUGAGAGGACGACCAGCCACACUGGGACUGAGACACGGCCCAGACUCCUACGGGAGGCAGCAGUGGGGAAUUUUGGACAAUGGGCGCAAGCCUGAUCCAGCCAUGCCGCGUGCGGGAAGAAGGCCUUCGGGUUGUAAACCGCUUUUGUCAGGGAAGAAACGCUCCGGGCUAAUACCCUGGGGUAAUGACGGUACCUGAAGAAUAAGCACCGGCUAACUACGUGCCAGCAGCCGCGGUAACAC